GAUGAACGCUGGCGGCGUGCCUAAUACAUGCAAGUCGAGCGAACAGACAAGGAGCUUGCUCCUUCGACGUUAGCGGCGGACGGGUGAGUAACACGUAGGUAACCUACCUAUAAGACUGGGAUAACUUCGGGAAACCGGAGCUAAUACCGGAUAAUAUUUCGAACCGCAUGGUUCGAUAGUGAAAGAUGGCUUUGCUAUCACUUAUAGAUGGACCUGCGCCGUAUUAGCUAGUUGGUAAGGUAACGGCUUACCAAGGCAACGAUACGUAGCCGACCUGAGAGGGUGAUCGGCCACACUGGAACUGAGACACGGUCCAGACUCCUACGGGAGGCAGCAGUAGGGAAUCUUCCGCAAUGGGCGAAAGCCUGACGGAGCAACGCCGCGUGAGUGAUGAAGGUCUUCGGAUCGUAAAACUCUGUUAUUAGGGAAGAACAAACGUGUAAGUAACUGUGCACGUCUUGACGGUACCUAAUCAGAAAGCCACGGCUAACUACGUG
rnacentral:rRNA from 1 species